AGUAAAAAACGAAAGAUAUACUGACAAUAUUCUGGUCGUUUCAGAUAUUGGCAAUGCGCUAUCCCAGAAGGUAUGUGCUGUCAGGUUGCCUUGGCGCUUUGAUAGUCAUGACCAUACUGUCAGCUGUUGUUGGCUGGGCUGCUCCGAAUCUGAUCCCCCGCAAGUGGACUCAUCACAUUACUACAAUAUUGUUUCUGGGAUUUGGUUUGUGGUCUCUGUGGGAUGCAUUUAAUGAUGGGGAGGCUGAAGACUUUGCUGAAGUUGAAAAAGAACUG